UUCUUCUAAUGGACUCCCUUGCCUUUUCCUUGGUCUCAAUCUUACCUUCCAGAAACCCAAUUUUGUCCUCGACCUCCUUCGCUGCUCCGCCACUCCUCGUGUCUCGGAUCCGCCGGAAACCGAGCACCCUGGUCGUCGGGUCCCACAGAAGAACUCGCCACCGGCGCAGAACCGGACGGAGACACCUCCAGGACGACAUGUCGGUCGCCAUUCCCAUGCCCUCGCCGCCUUCCCGGCAGCACUUGGACGACGAGCCGUUCCUCGAUUCCAGAAUCAGGGUUGGAGAAAGAGAUGUGAUGAUAAGUAAUAAGGAGGGAGAGACAAACAUGUCCUCUCCAAGCAAAACAGCUCCUCACAAGAACAAACAUGGAGUGAGCUAUGCCAAAUUCUUUGGGGUGGAUUUGUCGCCUGAUAAUGUGGCUGUUGCCAUGGUAUAUUUUGUUCAAGGCGUUUUAGGCCUCGCGAGGCUCGCAGUCAGUUUUUAUAUGAAAGACGAUUUGCAUUUAGACCCUGCUGAGACAGCUGUAAUAUCCGGCUUUUCUGCAUUACCAUGGCUCAUUAAACCUGUAUAUGGGUUUAUCAGUGAUUCUGUCCCACUGUUUGGAUACCGAAGAAGGUCCUACUUGAUUUUAUCUGGGCUACUUGGUGCACUAUCAUGGAGCUUGAUGGCCACUGUAGUUGAUGACAAGUUUAGCGUUGCGUUUUGCAUACUUCUUGGAUCUCUUUCUGUUGCCUUCUCAGAUGUUGUUGUAGAUUCCAUGGUUGUGGAGAGGGCUCGUGGUGAGUCACAAAGCAUGUCAGGUUCCCUUCAAUCUUUGUGUUGGGGUUCUUCAGCUUUUGGUGGAAUAGUGAGUUCCUACUUUAGUGGCUCAUUGGUGGAUGCUUAUGGUGUAAGGUUUGUUUUUGGUAUCACGGCUUUGCUACCACUUAUGACAUCUGCAGUUGCUCUUCUUGUAAAUGAGCAGCCUAUGCUUGGUGUGGCAAAAGGGUCAAAUUUUCCUUUGGUGGGUCAUAACAUUCUCGAAAGCUGGAAACAGAGUGCAAUUCAGUUAUGGGGUGCCGUCAAGCAUCCCAAUGUGUUCUUUCCCACGUUAUUUAUUUUCUUGUGGCAGGCAACCCCCCAUUCGGAGUCAGCCAUGUUUUAUUUCACCACAAAUAAACUUCAUUUUACCCCAGAAUUUCUAGGACGUGUCAAGCUUGUUACCUCAGUAGCAUCACUGCUUGGUGUUGGACUGUAUAAUGGAUUUUUGAAAAAUGUUCCAUUGCGGAAGAUUUUUUUUGUAACGACUGUUUUUGGUUCAGCCAUUGGGUUGACUCAGGUUAUUCUUGUUACUGGAUUAAAUCGGAAAUUUGGUAUAAGUGAUGAGUGGUUUGCAAUUGGGGAUUCUCUGAUUAUAACAGUUCUUGGUCAGGCUUCUUUCAUGCCCGUUCUUGUGUUAGCUGCUAGAUUAUGCCCAGAGGGAGUGGAAGCAACACUGUUUGCAACCCUCAUGUCCAUAUCAAAUGCAGGGAGUGUCCUUGGGGGGCUGAUGGGUGCUGGUCUGACACAGCUUCUUGGUGUAACCAGAGACAGUUUUGAUAACUUGGCCUUUUUAAUCAUCCUGUGCAAUCUCAGCUCAUUGUUGCCUUUACCACUCCUUGGCCUACUUCCGCAGGAUCGCCUUGAUGCCAAGCCAGAGGAGAGUGAAGAUAUUGAGAUGAAGUCUAAUUGAGCUUUGGUUGUUUGGUCCUACUUCAUCCAAGCUUUUUGUCCCAGAAAGAGAGCUUAAAUACAAGUAGAUACGAUUAUAGACUAAAUUUCCAGAAGGGACUACAAGUUGUGGUCUUCUGUCCCACAAUAUGGAUACCUUGUCCAACAAUAUGGAUACCUUGUCCAACUAAUCUGCAGUGGCAUAUAUGAGAACUAUCAUAUGAAAAAGGUAUCACAGGUGCUAAGAUUCUUCAUUGAAGCAUGGGCAACAUCCCAAAACUAAAAGCUUUCUUAUGAAAUCGAAGGGAAGGUUGAGAAUAGUACAAGUUUCCAAUGAUUGAGGAUGAUUUAAUAGUAAGAAAGGUCAAAACUUCAAUAAACUAACAAGAGGCCCAGCAGAAGCAGAAGGCUGAAAGCUACACAGGUGAACAACCAAAUACCAAUAAUGUCCAACCCACAAUUAUUCCUACUGAAAAUUGCUAAUUAGCUUUUAUAAUCAUAUUCCUUUGAUGUAUGAUCCUCGUGAAACCGAAAGGUUGUAUUCCGUUUAUGAAAUUGAAAAGAAAAAAAAAACAGUCAAGGGCCAUACAUUCAUUGGAUAAUU